rnacentral:rRNA from 1 species
UGAAUUUGGCUCAGGACGAACGCUGGCGGCGUGCCUAACACAUGCAAGUCGAGCGAUGAAGCCCUUCGGGGUGAAUUAGCGGCGGACGGGUGAGUAACACGUGGGUAACCUGCCUUAUAGAGGGGGAUAGCCUUCCGAAAGGAAGAUUAAUACCGCAUGAAAUGUUUUUAUCGCAUGGUAGAAACAUCAAAGGAGUAAUCCGCUAUAAGAUGGACCCGCGGCGCAUUAGCUAGUUGGUGAGGUAACGGCCCACCAAGGCGACGAUGCGUAGCCGACCUGAGAGGGUGAUCGGCCACAUUGGAACUGAGACACGGUCCAGACUCCUACGGGAGGCAGCAGUGGGGAAUAUUGCGCAAUGGGGGAAACCCUGACGCAGCAACGCCGCGUGAAUGAAGAAGGCCUUAGGGUUGUAAAGUUCUGUUUUCUGGGACGAUAAUGACGGUACCAGAGAGGAG